rnacentral:lncRNA from 1 species
AUGAAUCUGAUCAAAAUGAAUAUCUGGCAUCUGAAUUAGUUCAGAAACGCUGAACCAACAUAAAGAGAAAUCAGAUCUGACUCUGAAUAGAAUACAAGUGAGGAGCAAUCAUCUGAAGAAUCUGACUCUGAAGUUCAAUCAUUGAUUCUAAAGACUCUGCAAGAGAUAUCUGAAGACUCUGCAAGAGAUAUCUGAAGACUCUGCGAAAAGAUAUAUGAAUACUCUGAUCAUGCUCACUCUGAC